AUUGAACGCUGGCGGCAUGCCUUACACAUGCAAGUCGAACGGCAGCACGGGAGCAAUCCUGGUGGCGAGUGGCGAACGGGUGAGUAAAGUAUCGGAACGUGCCCAGUCGUGGGGGAUAACGUAGCGAAAGUUACGCUAAUACCGCAUACGAUCUAUGGAUGAAAGCGGGGGAUCGCAAGACCUCGCGCGAUUGGAGCGGCCGGUAUCAGAUUAGGGAGUUGGUGGGGUAAAGGCUCACCAAGCCGACGAUCUGUAGCUGGUCUGAGAGGACGACCAGCCACACUGGGACUGAGACACGGCCCAGACUCCUACGGGAGGCAGCAGUGGGGAAUUUUGGACAAUGGGCGAAAGCCUGAUCCAGCCAUGCCGCGUGCAGGAUGAAGGCCUUCGGGUUGUAAACUGCUUUUGUACGGAACGAAAAGGUUUGGCCUAAUAAGCUGAGCUCAUGACGGUACCGUAAGAAUAAGCACCGGCUAACUACGUGCCAGCCGCCGCGGUAA
rnacentral:rRNA from 1 species